CAAAGACAGCCACGUGAUAGUGAGGAGGGGUUAGGACUUUAACAUAUAAAUUGUAGGGGGACACAAACAUUAAAUUCAGAGCAUUAGAAUCAGGAAACAAUGGCCUGAACCUGUGAGAGCUGAAUUGCCAAAUUAUCUCCCUCAAAGAAGAGCAAAGGAAAUAUCCCAGUAAAAGCCUUAAGUUGUAAAUAAUGCAGAGCAGUGCUUUCUCAAACUUUAGCAUGCAUAAGCAUCACCUAGAGAGCCUGUUUAGAUGUAUAGUUUAGCUGUGAAAUUGGCUCUCAAAUUACCUGUGAACAGAGCAGAAAGGAAAACAUGCUGGUUGUACACUUUUCAUUGUCCAUAAGAAAUUUGAUAUAAAUCCCUUAGGGGAGCUAAGUUUUUGCCAUUGAUUAAUUCUAAAAUAAAUGUAUCAUCUCUAUGAUAAUGAGAAUAAGUGAAUGAUGCUUGGAACAAAAUCCUGACAGUGUACAAUAGAGUGAUCCAACACUUCCAUACAACACCCUGUGCUCAUCACCAUAGGUUCCUGAUCCUGACCCCUACCAUGCAGAGAAAGCCAGCCCUGGGUCUCCUGUGAUAUCAGGCAGGCUACCUGCAGUGGCAAUACCUGAUUUGUCACUGGGAAGCACAUGAUAAAGCUAAGAGACUUGUUAGCCUGGGUGACUGUAUGGAACACUCCCUUCCUCAGCUUCCUGGGAAUGGCACUAAACUGGUAUAUGGGAUCUUCCUCCACAACUAUCUACUGUCACACAUAUAAAGAACAAGUCGGCUGCCAGUGGAUUAAUAAAUGUACACCAACAUAGGCAUGAUAUAUUGAUCAGCACUCAAUUCAAGAAGCUGUUGUGGGAGGGGCAGAAAAAAAUCACCAGAAGUAGAUCUUCUUCUAUGUCGGCAUGGAACGAAGUUUGAUGGAUUCUUACUUUGAGUGGAAGAAUCAGAGACAAACAUCAAGAAGUUAAUUUGCGAAACACUCUGGUUUAUCAUCUAACAUAAUAGUUUUUUAAA